rnacentral:rRNA from 1 species
GGGACCCCGCACAAGCGGUGGAUCAUGUUGUUUAAUUCGAUGAUACGCGAAGAACCUUACCAGGUCUUGACAUCCCCUGCAAAGCUAUAGAGAUAUAGUGGAGGUUAUCAGGGAGACAGGUUGGUGCAUGGUUGUCGUCAGCUCGUGUCGUGAGAUGUUGGGUUAAGUCCCGCAACGAGCGCAACCCUUAUUGCUAGUUACCAUCAUUCAGUUGGGGACUCUAGCGAGACUGCCAGUGAUAAACUGGAGGAAGGUGGGAUGACGUCAAAUCAUCAUGCCCCUUAUGACCUGGGCUACAAACGUGCUACAAUGGGUGGUACAAAGAGAUGCAAUCUCGCAAGAGCAAGCAAACCUCAAAAAGCCAUCCUCAGUUCGGAUUGGAGUCUGCAACUCGACUCCAUGAAGUCGGAAUCGCUAGUAAUCGCGGAUCAGCACGCCGCGGUGAAUACGUUCCCGGGCCUU